rnacentral:rRNA from 1 species
AUUGAACGCUGGCGGCAGGCCUAACACAUGCAAGUCGAACGAGUGGCGGACGGGUGAGUAAUGUCUGUGAAACUGCCUGAUGGAGGGGGAUAACUACUGGAAACGGUAGCUAAUACCGCAUACCAUCGGAUGUGCCCAGAUGGGAUUAGCUAGUAGGUGGGGUAAAGGCUAACCUAGGCGACGAUCCCUAGCUGGUCUGAGAGGAUGACCAGCCACACUGGAACGUAGACACGGUCACGACUCCUACGGGAGGCAGAAGUGGGGAAUAUUGCACAAUGGGCGCAAGCCUGAUGCAGCCAGGCCGCGUGGAUGAGGAGGGCCUUCGAGUUGUAAAGUACUUUCAGCGGGGAGGCGUUACCCGCAGAAGAAGCACCGGCUAACUCCGUGUCAGCAGCCGCGGUAAUAC